UACGGAGGGUGCAAGCGUUAAUCGGAAUUACUGGGCGUAAAGCGCGCGAGGCGGUUUGUUAAGUUCAGAUGUGAAAGCCCAGGGCUCAACCUUGGAACUGCAUCUGAUACUGGCAGGCUAGAGUACAGGAGAGGGAAGUGGAAUUUCAGGUGUAGCGGUGAAAAUGCGUAGAGAUCUGAAGGAACACCAGUGGCGAAGGCGACUUCCUGGACUGAUACUGACGCGUGAGGUGACGAAAGCGUGGGGAGCAAACAGGAUUAGAUACCCCGGUAGUCC
rnacentral:rRNA from 1 species